UACGGAGGAUGCAAGCGUUAUCCGGAAUUAUUGGGCGUAAAGCGUCCGUAGGUGGCUGAUCAAGUCUGCUGUCAAAGCGUGGAGCUUAACUCCAUAACGGCAGUGGAAACUGAUGAGCUAGAGUGCGAUAGGGGUAGCAGGAAUUCCCAGUGUAGCGGUGAAAUGCGUAGAGAUUGGGAAGAACACCAGCGGCGAAGGCGGCUCACUGGCCCGGUACUGACGCUGAGGUGCGAAAGCGUGGGGAGCAAACAGG
rnacentral:rRNA from 1 species